CUCCAGAUGUGGCUGCCUAGUCUAUGCUGCUUCCCUGCCCCCAAACCUAGAGGCAGGAAGUCUCUUAAAGAUGCAUAUCAUUACUUCAUGCCAAGAUGACCCAAACCAGCAUGAGAAGCAGGUAUAGAAAGGAUCAUCCUGAAUACAGACCUGUCCUGAACCAGUCCCCUCAAGCCUUCAUCCAGUAGCUGAUGGAAGCAGAAGCAGAAAUCCACAGCUAAGCACUGAGCUGAACUCCUGGAAUCCAGUUGCAGAGAGGGAGGAGUGACAAACAAAGGGGUCAAGACCAUGCUGGGGAAACCCACAGAAACAGCUGACCUGAGCAAGUGGGAACCCAAGUUUUGACAGCUGGGGAACCAACAUAGGACCAAACCAGGCCCCCUGUACAUGGGUGUCUAUGGAGAACUGGGCAGUCUAUGGGACCUCUGGCAGCCGAACAAGGAUGUAUCCCUAGUGCACGAACGGACUUUGGGAGCCCAUUCCCCAUGACUCUCAAGGAUCAAAAAUCACGUGGUCAAACUGGAUGGAAAGCUCCUUUACUGGCUGAGCCAUUUCAUUGCACAAUGAAGUGCAGGUGCUCAGAGAGGCUAGAAAAGGGAAUAGAUCACUUGGAGAUGGAAUUAUAAGCAGUUCUUAGCCACCUAAUAUGGGUGGGGAGCCAAACUCUGGAAGAACAAGCACUCUUCACCACUGAGCAAGUUUCACUUUUUGCUGCAGCAAACACCAUAUGGCUUCUCAACAGUGUGCCUGCUUUUCAGAGCACUGCUUAAGCUUGGGGGCCAUUAGGCACAGUUAGGCUGAGCUGAACACCAGCACUGAGACUGUAGCAAUGUGAUAGCCAGGAUGGCUAAGUGAUCAGCAGGUGUUGGUGUGUCCAGCAUGUGUAUGUAGAGCAAGGGGAUGAUCUGUGUCCCUCCUUGGACAGAGCAGAAUUGGAAGUUGUUUCACCACAUGGAAGAAUAACUUGAGGAUUGCUUACUUCUGGAUUUUUGACACUCAAAUUUUCUGGUUUACAGUGAAACCACAAAUAAGGAGAGAAUAUGGUUUAUCUGGUUGGGUGAGAUGUUUGGCAAAGUCUGUGGUCUGUUUUCCACAAAGGGUUACAAUUGAUUUUGAAGUCAUUUGUAUAUUUUAAGUAACAUUACUGUAUCUGCUAUGUCUCUUGUUAGUAUUUUAUCUGAGUCAAUGGCUUGUCUUUCAUACUGUUACAGUCAACUUUUGCAAAGCAGAAUUUAUGAAUUUUAUUGAGAUCUAGUUUCUUUCCAUAGAUUGUGCCUUUGGUAGUGUACCUAAAGUCAGUGCCCAAAUCCAAAGGCAUUGACACUGUCACCUAUGGCAUCACCUAAGUUUUACAUUUAGAUCUGCAAUCAAUUUAACUAGGUUCUAAGUGUGUAUAUUCUGUGCCUAGACUGACUUUCAUUAGAUAUCCAUGAAUCCCAGUAGUUUUUCUAAAUGUUUUUGUCUUGAUGAUGUGACUCUUAUACCUGAACUCUCUAUUCUGUUCCAGUUCCCCUCUGCCAUGUCAUACUCUCUAGUCAGUAGUCUGUUGUCUACUAUAGCUUUACAUUAUGCUAUGAAGUCAACUCCUGUCAGCUGUUUAUUCUCCAAUGUUUUAUGAGCGGUUCUGGUCUUUUCCGUCUAUACAUGCUUUAGAAUCAAUUUGCUUACAAAAUAAACUGGCUGGGAUUUUCAUUUGGGCUGUAUUGACUCUACACAUGGGGGAAUCUGAUAUGCU
rnacentral:lncRNA from 1 species